AUUGAACGCUGGCGGCAUGCCUUACACAUGCAAGUCGAACGGCAGCACGGGAGCAAUCCUGGUGGCGAGUGGCGAACGGGUGAGUAAUAUAUCGGAACGUGCCCAGUCGUGGGGAUAACGUAGCGAAAGCUACGCUAAUACCGCAUACGAUCUAUGGAUGAAAGCGGGGGAUCGCAAGACCUCGCGCGAUUGGAGCGGCCGAUAUCAGAUUAGGUAGUUGGUGAGGUAAAGGCUCGCCAAGCCGACGAUCUGUAGCUGGUCUGAGAGGACGACCAGCCACACUGGGACUGAGACACGGCCCAGACUCCUACGGGAGGCAGCAGUGGGGAAUUUUGGACAAUGGGCGCAAGCCUGAUCCAGCAAUGCCGCGUGCAGGAUGAAGGCCUGGUUGUAA
rnacentral:rRNA from 1 species